rnacentral:lncRNA from 1 species
UGACCAUCGUGGUGACCACCCUGGCACACAGCCAUGGAGCACUGACCACCACACUGACCACCCUGGCCACCAUGGGGACAGCUCCUGACCACAGUGACCACCACAGUGACCACCACAGUGACCACCACAGUGACCACAGUGACCACCCUGGGGACAGUUCCUGACCGCAGUGACCAUCAUGAGCCCAUGGCCACAGUGCAGUGACACUGUCCUGUCUGUCCCUCUGUCCGACUGACGCUCCGUCCGACUGUCCCUGCGGUUUUGGGGUCCCCCAGCUCCAUCCCAAUAAACCUGGUGGUGUCACCCCUGUUC